GUUGUCUAAACUCCUAUCCAAUCCAGCCUACUGCCUUAAAUAUUUUGUAAGUGCGGUAAGGUGAAAGUCUAGUACCACUAAGCUAAAAUCUGUAGGACCAUGGCUAAACGUCUUUAUUUCAGAAGCCAUUUUGAAAGAGGCGAUUGUCACUUUUUCUAAUGUAAUGUGGAUAGUGAUGAACUCGUUUUUGGCAUCCAACAUCACAAAAUUGCAGCGCACAUUGUCGCUUGUCAAACGGUGACGAGUAUGCUGAGUGGUAAUUACAAAUUAUGGUGAAUCUAGGUACUUCUAUAUACCUGAUCUGCAGAAAAGAUAAAUCUUUUGUGGACGAUUUAACUACAGAACGUGGUAUUGUAAACUUGAGAGUAGUCUUGUAUUACGAUCUGCUAUGGUUUAGCGAUUGUGAUUGCUUU
rnacentral:ncRNA from 1 species